CAUUCAGACUUUGGUCACUUUAAUAAUCCUCACAGCUUCGUUCAGAUGUACCCAUGAAAGUGACAGAGAAAGCUGUUGUAUGGUGAGAUAUUUGUCAUACACCAGAUUGGAAAGCACAUGAGGUGACAGUUUCAUUUAGCUUUUAUUCAAAGCGACCUACACUACCGUUCAGAAGUUUGGGAUCACUUAGAAAUGUUAAUGUGGUAAAUGACUAUUGUAGCUGGAAACAGCUGAUUUUUAAUGGAAUAUCUCCAUAGAGGUACAGAGGAACAUUUCCAGCAACCAUCACUCCUGUGUUCUAAUGCUACAUUGUGUUAGCUAAUGGUGUUGAAAGGCUCAUUGAUGAUUAGAAAACCCUUGUGCAGUUAUGUUAGCACAUGGAUAAAAGUGGGAGUUUUCAUGGAAAACAUGGAAUUGUCUGGAUCACCACAAACUUUUGAACGGUAGUGUACCAAUAUUGUUUACAUCAAUUUGUCAUUGGGUUUAAAGUUAUGGUUCAAAGAUGUAGAAUCAGUGUCAAUGCUGGCAUCAGAUUCUCCAGAGUUGGGUAGAUAACAUCUCUCACGCUGUAAUAAACCGAAAAAUAUGUUUUUCUUAACCGUUAGAUGCUCCAGUGAUUGGACCCUACACUCUUCCAUGUAGGAAUCAAUGUAUGUUUAUACCAUUUUGGUUCAGAAUAAUCAUUUGUAUUAUUGAUUGUUUUAUAUUUUGGUCCACACAAGAAUGAAGUUUGACAUGCAAACCAGUAUGUAGAUGUAUAAAUACACGUGCACACACACAAUCACACUCAAUACAUAGACUAAAGCUAGCUAGCUUAGUUAGCUAACUAUAAAGUAGGCUAAUUUGAUGAUACAUAAUAAUAACACGAGUCAUUAAUGUGCAAGUAUGUUGAGAAAUAUCAAUUUGAUCACAUCAAACUUUUUCUGAGGUAAAUGUAGAUAUUACUUCCAUGUAUGAGGUCUUUCUGUGUAGAACUUUAUUUUAAAACUUUCUUUGUCCCCCUGGGGACAAAUAAAGUUUCCUGAAUCUGAAUCUAAAGUAAUCCUCCUGAUUGAUGACACUUCUGACACAGUGUGUGGUCCACAGUAAAUACAGUGAUGGAAGAAAGUUUUCAGACACCCUUAAAAUUUUACACAAUCUCAGACAUUAUCAUGAAGUAUUUGUGGACAAAUCUUUUUUGUGUUUCCAAAGGUGUAGCUGCAUUAGACAGACACAAACAAGUACACAUUCUAUAUUUUUUUGUUCAUUGUUUGCAAGAAAAACUAACAAAACUAAAUUUUACUAAAAUGACCCAGUACUCAAAAUUUCUUAUUUUUAUGGAACCAAGCAGUUAUAAGUUUUAAAUGGCUUUUUUAGGAUUUGUUUAGUAUUAUGGCUGCGAUUGUACUAAAACAAAUUACACUUGAACACCUAAGAAUGAUUCUUAGUGCAAUAUACAUACAAAUGUAUGGGAUAUGUGGAAACUUUUUUCCACCACUGUAUGUUCCUGACAGUCACAACCACUGUUCCCUCUAAGCUGCGCGCGUGCGCAAUUGCGCACUGCUGACACGGUCUCCGCGCACAGAAAAUCUGCGCUGCGCACAAAAAAAAAAUCCAACCUAAAUUGUAAAUAAAAUAAACACGUAACAAUUCAUUCUGUGCUAUUUUUCAAUGUGAGUCAGUGAGUGACCGGUGACUGGCUGCUGCAGCCAAUGAUGCGAUUCACAUACGUAUUUACCAUAGACUGUAUAUAAUGGUAUUUACGCAGCUAAUCAACGUCAGGCGUCCUUAUGUGCAGCCACCUUUGUUCUCAAAGAUAUGAAUGAGUAGAUAGGACACGCCCCUUUGAGCUGCGUGCUACAGCGAGGCUAAGCUAGUGGGGGAAAAGUUUCAGUGCAUUCCGUUGAUGUAGACGGCGUGAAAACGGAAACAACAAGAAUGCCGUCUCACUGUGCUGCAUACAGUUACACACUACGUCGUACGAUUGAGACAAGGAAACUUGGAAUGACUUUUCAUAGGUUUCCCAGAGACUAUGGGUUGAGGAGGAAUUGGAAGUUUGUCGGCUUAGACCUGGUGUCAUUCCAUCAGUGUUAAACUUCCCGGUUCAUCUUGGAAGAGUACGUGCCAGAAAGACCACGACCAAGCAGCCUUGAGAUCUUAGACAGCGUCUCCCUGAGACCAAAGAACUACAGACUCUUCACAACCUGCUCAAACUCUUGGUACAGGACCUCACCACACGGGUCAAGAAGGUUUCCUUCUCAUUUCUACUCUGAAGCUCACCUUCUCCUGCUCAAACUGCUGACAAAUGUUUCUGCUGCUCUAAAGUCUGCUCUCCAGAACUUCCUAAAAACUCUCAAAGUCUCUUCUGCUGCAGGUUGCUUUGUAGAACUGUUCCAGAAAACCUCACUAAACCACAUGGAGGAGCCUCAAGAUAGUCGUCCAAAUGAAACCGUACAAAAACCAAACUAGCACAACCCAAACACUAAAGUCUCCUGCAGUCUACCAGAGAACCUCUGAGAACAGAGAAACAGGACAGGAACUCUUACCUUCUGGACAACCAACGCUGGUUCACAAACAAGAAUACAGAAUGUGUCUGACCAGAAACCUCUAAAGACUCACUACAGCCAAGAUAAAGACACAACUCACCUGCAACAAAUCCACUAAUCACUGCACACAUUAGCACCAUGUGCUAACUGUGGCUAAAGAACCACAUUUACCAAGACAACUAUCCAGUACAAAGCCCUAAAACACACCAAGAAACACAUUAAAGACGAUUUUACUGCUGGAAGCUGCAAGCCAACGCCUAAAGAACAAACUGAAGAAACGGAACCAAACCCAGUUCACUGGUGAAGAGAAACAGAGGAAAUGUUUGUCUGCAGCUAAACAAAGCAGGAAGACACUGAGCUGCUCAGGUGUUCCUGAUAACACCAAGCAGCCACCUGGACAGCCAAUAGGAACACAGCUUCCUGGAAGUCCAGAGGGCUGGGUUAGUCAAGGAAAUUUAGUUUAAAGUUGAAGCAGAAAGUUAACAAAGAAAGUUGAAAACCACCUUCUGAUCCCUGAAAUCUCUGAGUUUUCACACAAAGAACGCCUGAACAUGUCAAACUGGUUCCAUAGUAGAACCAUCAUUGUAAAAACGUCAUAGUAUGGUGUGUUGCUCAAAAAACAUUAGGACCCGGCUGUCAGGGGACAAACAUGUAAGAAACAUGAGAACAGAGAGAACCCAACCAGUAGGUCACAGUUUAUCAUCAUCUAAUCAUCUCCUGAAGUCCAUAUGGUGAGAGACAUCAGUAUCUGGUUGUUCAUUUACCAGAGGAUGCUUAUAAUCAUGCUGAUGUGGUCUGUACUCUACAGUAUUUUAGUGACUCAAUAAAUGCCUAAGUUGUUUUUUUUAAAUGCUUUUUAGUUUUUAAUAAACAUUUAAGAGCCUAUAUGUAAUCAAUAA